AUGAACGCUGGCGGCGUGCCUAAUACAUGCAAGUCGAGCGCACGGACGAGAAGCUUGCUUCUCUGAUGUUAGCGGCGGACGGGUGAGUAACACGUGGAUAACCUACCUAUAAGACUGGGAUAACUUCGGGAAACCGGAGCUAAUACCGGAUAAUAUUUUGAACCGCAUGGUUCAAAAGUGAAAGACGGUCUUGCUGUCACUUAUAGAUGGAUCCGCGCUGCAUUAGCUAGUUGGUAAGGUAACGGCUUACCAAGGCAACGAUGCAUAGCCGACCUGAGAGGGUGAUCGGCCACACGGGAACUGAGACACGGUCCAGACUCCUACGGGAGGCAGCAGUAGGGAAUCUUCCGCAAUGGGCGAAAGCCUGACGGAGCAACGCCGCGUGAGUGAUGAAGGUCUUCGGAUCGUAAAACUCUGUUAUUAGGGAAGAACAUAUGUGUAAGUAACUGUGCACAUCUUGACGGUACCUAAUCAGAAAGCCACGGCUAACUACGUG
rnacentral:rRNA from 1 species